rnacentral:rRNA from 1 species
ACUGACAGCCAUGGUUACCGCGGCUGCUGGCACGGAGUUAGCCGGUGCUUCUUCUGUGAGUGAUGUCCUUCCUGCCGGCUAUUAACCCGCAGGCCUUCUUCCUCACUGAAAGUGCUUUACAACCCGAAGGCCUUCUUCACACACGCGGCGAUGGCUGGAUCAGGGUUGCCCCAUUGUCCAAUAUUCCCCACUGCUGCCUCCCGUAGGAGUCUGGGCCGUGUCUCAGUCCCAGUGUGGCUGAUCAUCCUCUCAGACCAGCUACGGAUCGUCGCCUUGGUGAGCCGUUACCUCACCAACCAGCUAAUCCGACAUAGGCUCAUCCGAUAGCGCGAGGCCCGAAGGUCCCCCGCUUUCCCCCGGUAGGCGUAUGCGGUAUUAGCCUGGGUUUCCCCAGGUUAUCCCCCACUACCGGGCAGAUUCCUAUGCAUUACUCACCCGUCCGCCGCUCGCCACCAGGGAGCAAGCUCCCCGUGCUGCCGCUCGACUUGCAUGUGUUAGGCCUGCCGCCAGCGUUCAAU